UACGUAGGGGGCUAGCGUUGUCCGGAAUCAUUGGGCGUAAAGCGCGUGUAGGCGGUCCGGUAAGUCCGCUGUGAAAGUCGGGGGCUCAACCCUCGGAUGCCGGUGGAUACUGUCGGGCUUGAGGACGGAAGAGGCGAGUGGAAUUCCUGGUGUAGCGGUGAAAUGCGCAGAUAUCAGGAGGAACACCAAUUGCGAAGGCAGCUCGCUGGGACGUUACUGACGCUGAGACGCGAAAGCGUGGGGAGCAAACAGG
rnacentral:rRNA from 1 species